rnacentral:rRNA from 1 species
UACGAAGGGGGCUAGCGUUGCUCGGAAUUACUGGGCGUAAAGGGCGCGUAGGCGGACAGUUUAGUCAGAGGUGAAAGCCCAGGGCUCAACCUUGGAAUUGCCUUUGAUACUGGCUGUCUUGAGUUCGGGAGAGGUGAGUGGAAUGCCGAGUGUAGAGGUGAAAUGCGCAGAUAUUAGGAAGAACACCGGUGGCGAAGGCGGCUCUCUGGAACGGUACUGACGCUGAGACGCGAAAGCGUGGGGAGCGAACAGG